UAGGGAAUAUUGCGCAAUGGGGGAAACCCUGACGCAGCAACGCCGCGUGAGUGAGGAAGGUCUUCGGAUUGUAAAACUCUUUUCUUAGAGAAAAAUGUCUUUGUGGCUAACAUCCACAGAGAGUGAUGGUAUCUAAGGAAUAAGCACCGGCUAACUUCGUGCCAGCAGCCGCGGUAAUACGAAGGGUGCAAGCGUUGUUCGGAAUUAUUGGGCGUAAAGCGCGCGCAGGCGGAUUUGCAAGUCAGAUGUGAAAUCUCGGAGCUCGACUCCGAAACUGCGUCUGAAACUACGAGUCUAGAAUGUCGGAGGGGGCAGGGGAAUUUCACGUGUAGGGGUAAAAUCCGUAGAGAUGUGAAGGAACACCGGAGGCGAAGGCGCCUGCCUG
rnacentral:rRNA from 1 species